AAAUUAGAAGAAAAUUCGCAACUAUUGGGCUACCCGCAUUCGGAAUAUUGUUUGGGCCAUAUCUUGAGUUCUAGAAGUCGGAUUUGGGCGAGUAAACAGCCCACGCGAAGAUAAUUUAAUUUUCUAUCAUUCUAGAUGGGUCCAGAUAUCAAAAGCCUACUGAAACAGCCCAGGAACAGGGGAGAAAGUCAACUGCGAAUUUUGACCUUU
rnacentral:lncRNA from 1 species